UCUGCAAUAGGAGAAGCCUCCACAAGAAGCCCAUGAACGGCAACGAUGAGUGUAGCCCCCGCUCCCUGCAGCUAGAGAAAGCCUGUGUGCAGCAUUGAAAACCCAGCCCAGCCAAAAAUAAAUACAUUCAUUAAAAAAAAAUUCCUUACUUUUAUUGGAAAAUUUCUACACACUCAGAAAAAUAGUGCAAUAAACACCUCACAUCACUGCUCAGAUCAAGCAAUUAUUAUUAUUUUGCUGAACAUUUCAGUGUAUAUCUGUAUUUUUAAGAAACAUUUAAAAAUAGUUGCAAACACUGUGCUUAUUUACACUUAAACAGUUCAGCCAGCAUCCCCUAAAAAUAAGGACAUUUUCUUACCUAACUAUAUUAUCACCCCUAAGAAAAUUAACAAUACUUCCUUACUUUCAUCUAAUAACCAGUCCAUAUUCUCAUUUCCCAAAUUUCAUUCAAAUUAAAAUUUCACACACUUACUUUUGGUUUCUUUUUAGAAAUUUGUGAUCUAGAAAGCCCUUAACAAACAACACUGACUUUUCAAAAGGACAAGAAAAUUUGUCUUACUUUUCCUUGUAGUAUCAUUUAAUUCUAAAAGCAGAUUGUCAGUUUUAUGAUAACAAAUUCCUAUUACCAUGUGAAAGUUUUCAGAAGUUGCAGUGGUUUGAAGCCACAAAAUCUUUUUGGUCUGGCUGAUUCUUUCAUGGUUCCUGAAGGUUUGCAGCUGUAGAAUGUUGGAGCCAGAAAGCCCACUGACAUGGAAGUAAAGGGUGAUUUCUGAGAUGCUUGCAACAGCUCAGUGAGGUAGGCCUGACAGGCAUGGAAGAGGCGAAAAUAAAUGGAUCAGAAAACUAUACCAGGUGUCAGAGGUUCUGGACACAGUGCUGAACAAUACAGAUGCAGUUCCUGCUUUUAUGAAGCUCAGAGGAGAGCAGAGGAGUCAGAGGGAAGAGAAAGCUGAGGAGUGUCCAGCUCUGCUUAUUACACAGUGAACUGCUAUCUAAGAGAAGGAGGUACCUGCC